rnacentral:rRNA from 1 species
GACGAACGCUGGCGGCGUGCUUAACACAUGCAAGUCGAACGGAAAGGCCCUGCUUUUGUGGGGUGCUCGGGUGGCGACCGGGGGAGUAACACGUGAGUACCCUGCCCUUGCCUUUGGGAUAACUUCAGGAAACUGGGGCUAAUCCCGGAUAGGAGCUCCUGCUGCUGGGUGGGGGUGGGAAAGUUUCGGCGGUUGGGGAUGGACUCGCGGCUUAUCAGCUUGUUGGUGGGGUAGUGGCUUACCAAGGCUUUGACGGGUAGCCGGCCUGAGAGGGUGACCGGCCACAUUGGGACUGAGAUACGGCCCAGACUCCUACGGGAGGCAGCAGUGGGGAAUAUUGCACAAUGGGCGGAAGCCUGAUGCAGCAACGCCGCGUGCGGGAUGACGGCCUUCGGGUUGUAAACCGCUUUCGCCUGUGACGAAGCGUGAGUGACGGUAAUGGGUAAAGAAGCACCGGCUAACUACGUG